GGUUUUCAUGAUGAUCCCAAAACCCUUGUACCGUUACACAGCUCAAACAUACACAGACGUGAAAAUGUUAACGAAUUGCACGUAAAGCUGUAAAUACUAUUGAGGCCAAUCGUGUGCUUUUGUAACACACAUAUUAGCCAAUAUUAUCAAGAUGUGUUUACCUAUCAUGCGGAUAUAUCAAACCGAUUGACAAGAUUGCGUGGGAAAAUUAGUUUAAAAAUAAACUGGAAGGUGCACAUAACGACGAUAAAGAAAUGAAAAACAUUACGUCGAGCUUUGUCCAUUUGAACACCGACACAUUAAUGGCGUAAUUGAUGAGGGACAGAUUGGACAUUAUCAAAUAAUAAUAAUAGUUAGAUGAAAAAAAGCCGAAGAUGAUAAAAGCAAGAGACCGAUGCACAUAAACGGACAGACAAACUGUUGGUUUAAAAACAGUUCAACCUGCUGAGCAAUCGUCAUUCCCUCCGCCAUCCCGCAUGUGUUUUUGCAUACUUAUAUCAAGUAUUGAUGUAUAGAGAAUAACAGGUUACUGUCCUAUCGUUCUGUAAUAUAGCAGGCGAGGCUUAGAAUAAUAUAAUGGCGAGGCUUGCCUAGCCAUUAUUUUAUUCGUGCCGAGCCUGAUAUAUUACAAAACGAUGGGACAGUAACCCGUUUUUCUGUUUAUCAUACCACAUUUUCAUAAAAACCUGCAAAACAAUCUUGUUUGUAUAUUUAAAUGUACGGAUCCCCGCUGAUAUUGCUAAUCCGACUUUUACACGUUGACAUGCAUGUAGCAACGGCGUUCGAAAAGACGACACGAAUAAACGCUUAUUUUAAACAUCGUAUAGAGAAAAAAAGUUGUUUGACCUACGAAUGGGAAGAGUACACCCGCCUUAAUUAUAAACGUAUUGAAUUGGAGAUCUGGAAUGGACUGCAGCGACAAAUUCAAUCGAAGAACACACUUCACCGAAUAGUUUGGAGACGGCAUUUUGGAGAUGUGUAUUGAAAUUGACAUUUUGAUGAUGAUGUCAAUAUUGACAUAAGCGUGUUAAAUCGUUUGAUUAAAUAGUU